AGAACUGCAUUGUUGUUGCAGCCAGUUAAUAAAGAGGCUCAGUGAUUACUCAAAGCAGCAAUCUGUAUUUGCAAAAGAACCCAAUACAACAGCUGCUGCUCAUUCAUUGGACACAGCAUCAGGAAACGAUUUCAAGCAGAAGAUCCACCACUGGCUGUCAACUAAAACCUCUCUGGGUUUUGAAAAUCCAACAAGUGAACUGAUUCUGCCUCCACGUUUUCUGUUUGUUGGUUCCUCCUCCGACCAGCAGGCGGCGCCUCCUGCUUUGGAUUGAGGCUGUUUGUGAGGAAGUUGAGGUGGAUCAGCCGCAGCUGAGUCUGGUUUGUUGUUGUUCCUGUUGUGGCUGUACAGUAACUCCAGAUACAGGAUGCAGGACAGUGAAUCCAGUGUCUCAUGUGGCCCUGCAGCUUCUCCUCCUCCACCUCCUCCUGAAGCCUUCAUCUUCUUCAUCAUCAGCUGCUCAGUGACUCUGUUGGACGUCUCACCGUGUGGCAGCAGCUCAGGAGUUUGCAGUCAACCAAGGCCGACUCAGAAUCACUCCCACCGGGAAGAUCUGUGAAGGAAGGUCCACCCGGCUGGUCCAGAAGCUCCGGUCCAGCAGAGCAGCGUCAGGAUGGAGACGUAACCGGGAGUUUGCAGUCAACCAAGGCCGACUCAGAAUCACUCCCACCGGGAAGAUCUGUGAAGGAAGGUCCACCCGGCUGGUCCAGAAGCUCCGGUCCAGCAGAGCAGCGUCAGGAUGGAGACGUAACCGGUGUUGAUGUCACCGCCUUGACGAAUAGAAGAAAAGCCUGUGUUUGGGUAUGAAGGGCCGGUAGUCCAGAGGUAGUGAUGCUGGUUUGGAACCUGGAGAGUGCAGGAACCAUCCUUGAACUCCAGUCCAGUCACACUCCACACCACAGACCACAACCUUUCCACUCCACUAUCACCAUCCCCAGCGGGGAUUCGAACCGUGCCCGUCCACAUGACAGACAUACACCCUCUGUGUGAGCUAUCUUUCACACAAGGUCCCUGGUGGAGUUUGUUGUAAUGAUGGUUGCAAGAGGUGUCAUGCAGCCAAAGUUUAAAAAGAGCCUUGAGCUGGAUUCGAACCAAGGACCUCCUGGAUGAGAGGCAGAUAACUUACCACUGCACUAUCCUUCCUACUGGGUAUAGCUGUUAGUUUUCGUAAAUGAUGGUACACAAAAGUAUUAAGGAAGUGAAGAUAAUAAAGGUACUAAGGUGUAUUUGAGAGGCAAAAAACUUACCUCUACACCAGGUGUCCUACAAGAUGUUGCUCUAACUUUGCUUAAAUGAUGCUAUCAAUUAGUACUGGCGCAACCAAACAACAAAUAAAAGGUGUGAGUGGA